rnacentral:rRNA from 1 species
AGGACGAACGCUGGCGGCGUGCUUAACACAUGCAAGUCGAGCGGAAAGGCCCUUCGGGGUACUCGAGCGGCGAACGGGUGAGUAACACGUGAGUAAUCUGCCCUUAGCUCUGGGAUAGCUCCGGGAAACCGGGAUUAAUACCAGAUAUGACCACUUUAGACAUCUUUUGUGGUGGAAAGAAUUUCGGCUGGGGAUGAACUCGCGGCCUAUCAGCUUGUUGGUGAGGUAAUGGCUCACCAAGGCGACGACGGGUAGCCGGCCUGAGAGGGCGACCGGCCACACUGGGACUGAGACACGGCCCAGACUCCUACGGGAGGCAGCAGUGGGGAAUAUUGCGCAAUGGGCGAAAGCCUGACGCAGCGACGCCGCGUGGGGGAUGAAGGCCUUCGGGUUGUAAACCCCGUUUCAGCAGGGACGAAGCGAAAGUGACGGUACCUGCAGAAGAAGCGCCGGCUAACUACGCGCCAGCAGCCGC